rnacentral:rRNA from 1 species
UACGUAGGUGACCAGCGUUGUCCGGAUUUACUGGGCGUAAAGAGCGCGCAGGCGGUCGGUCAAGUCGAGUGUGAAAGCCCCCGGCUCAACUGGGGAGGGUCACUUGAUACUGAUCGACUCGAAGGCAGGAGAGGGAAGCGGAAUUCCCGGUGUAGUGGUGAAAUGCGUAGAUAUCGGGAGGAACACCAGUGGCGAAGGCGGCUUCCUGGCCUGUUCUUGACGCUGAGGCGCGAAAGCUAGGGGAGCAAACGGG